GCUCCACAGUCCCACUGCCGAGCUGACAACGCGCAGGGGGCUCUCGGUGUUUUCCCCCUGGAAGGUUGCUGCGGGAGGCCCCCAAAUUCUGCUCCCGAACUGGUGGCAUCACAUCAGUGUUGGUGAUCAAGUAUCAUCCUUAAAGGAGGAAGAGGCUGGAACUGGGAUUUAAAGUAGUCUUUUAGGAGUACUGCCAGAACCGAUCUGUUUUACUCUGCUGCUGUUGCUGUUCUGCUGUGUCAUGGGAAGAGUUUCCUCUCCACACCAACCCUUGGAAGCGGCACCUCGGGCAGAGCCGCUCGCUGCAAGCCCCGGCCGUGUUUCACAAAGCCCCGGCCGGCUGCUCACUCGCUAUUCCCUGUUAUUUGUGUGGGUCGUAAGCUCAGCAACAGAUGAGAAUAAAUGCUAAUAUUUCUUUAGGCUGCCUCCCUAAGGAAAUAAAAGUUCUGCUGCGCUGCUUUUCUGUGCAGGUACGUGUCCAUCCCCCUCUCCCAAAAGCUUCUGAACCCAUUAAUGAAUUCCAGAUGAAUUUGGGAGGAAGCACAUACUUCAAACUCAGUUAUAUUCCUGCAAGGUGCACACAGGCAGAAGGGAGAGACUCAGAUCAGGAACUGAAGCAGAACUCAGCCCUAACGCCUCCGGGUUGGCAUCAACCUUCAAGCCACCAACCCACCUGUGGCAGGCAAUUAAUCUCUGUGUAGUCACUCUGGGCCACAGCACUGCCCCAUCCUGCCUGGUGCAAUUUUUUUGGCUGGCAAGAGAUAUCGUGGAGAAGCAGAGGAAUUGGGCUAACACAGGGAAUGAACUGUUUUCAAGGCAAAAUAAUAGAGGAAUUUAAGGAGUAUCACUACAAGCAACAGAAAAGUUAAUACCUGGGGUUGGCUGUACGUUGUUUGGGGGAAUGAUUUAGCUUUUGUGUCAGUCCCAAAAGAAACCAUGGCAGAGGAGCAGGUGGGGCUGCUCCCAGAGCCAGCACAGGUGUCACUGCUGCCUUGCUAAAGCUAAAGGCCAUGGAUGCAUUUUCUCUGCAAUGCCAACAUCAGGUGAAGAGCAGCCUCAACCACAGGCUUCAGGCUACUGCAUCUGACAGCUCCACUGUCCCAUCCUCCUUUCUGGCAUAGCCUGGCUGUUGCUGAGGCUCAGAGUUGGUUUGUGUUUGAGAAGAGCCAAGCCUGGGGUGUCUCCCCAUGGAUGGUGCUGGGUCUCUACCUUUGCUGGAGCCCUCCUGGCUGCUUAAAGGAGAGGGGAGAGCUCCAGCCCUGCAUCUCCACCUCAGGGGACACUGGUCAGGUCAGGACUGCAGACAGGAUCAGAUCCAUCCUCACCUGAGAGGAAAGGUUUAAUUUAUGUGUCCUUUCUCCACCAGCUGCACCUCGCUGGGAGCAGCCACCGGAGGGGGGACACCGUACCAUACGCACUCAUCUCCAUUGCAAUUAGUUUGAUGCAACAAACAGCUCCAGCGUGACAAACUCCAGGCUAAAAAAAGCCAGGACUUCAUCUGCAUAAACUGGGGAUGCACAAAGUAUGUAUUGUGUGUCACCUCCCUUAUGUCCCACAUUUGUUCCUGCAGCAAAUGGCAUAUGCUCCAGCAGUACCACGUGGUCCGAAUGGACUCCCAAAUACAGCAGGGAUCUAAAGCUGGUAGUCUUUGAAAUUAAGACAUUAGUUGUGAACUUGCUUAUGGACCUCUUGUGGAAAGAAGAUUUUUGCAAAUAAAUUAAGAUUCAUUAUCCUCUGAUGAAUAAUCUUUAAAAUUGGAGCCAGGCUCUCCAUCGAUGAGCAAGUUAUUUUUUCUGAUUUAGCUGUUAGACACCAACUGAGACCAGGGACCUCGUUCUCCUGGUCACUGUGUAGUCACACUCAAGGAGAUAACGUCUGCCUUGAAGAGCUUACAAAGCAGAACAACAAAGGAGUGAGCCAUAUAACACUCAGGCAGAGCAAACACUGUGACCUUUUGAAAAUGUCAAGUUAAUACCAUGAUCUGGAAGUGGAAGGGGCUUAUCAGAGGGUGGGCGGGUCAGUGAGUAUGGGACACACUUCAGGAUGGGGGGAAUGAGACGAAGAAGAAGCCACAGCAGAAGCUGCGUGGUGUGAGAUGCAGAGGAAGUGCAUGCAGAGCAUUCUAUGGUCAAUUGGCACAUCCAGAAUAAAAAACAGGGGAAAGAGUCUGAUGACCGUGGCCACAGCUCACAGAAUAACCAGCUCCCCAAAGUCCCACAGCCUGGAGAGGGGAGGUGGAGAGGGCAGGGGUGGACAGAGCAGUUCCUCCCACACGCUGGUUCCGCACAGGCGGCUGGAGGUGUGAUAACCCCGUUUGGGGCUCUUUCUCUCCGUGGCUCAGCCUCCUGCAGCUGUGUUUGCUGCAGCUGAGCCUCGGGGCUGGAGUGAGACGUAGUUCAGCUCUAAGCUGCUCUAAGUCCAGGGCAGCACAUAAUUGAAUAUUAACAGGAACAGUUCUAGGAGCUGCUGGGACUCAGGAAGUCACAAUUCCUUUUCUGCCGCUCCUUUGCCUUCGUGGGAGGUGAUUGCUGGAGGCCUUAAUGGAUGUGAGACAUAAUAUGCUUCCCUCACAUUAGCCCCAGUUAGAAAACUGAGGCUUUAACCACAUCCUACCCUCUCUGAUCAUUUCCUCAUCCAGCUCUUCAGCAACAUGAGAAGUGCAGUAGCUGCAACCACCCCAGCGACCAAACAGAGAGGUGCAGAGACCGUAUGAACGUUGAUUUCACACCUCAUCUCCCCAGUGAACAAAGGGUUCCCACCUUUAAGGAGCACCAAAAUUUGCCAAAUAUACAUUAUUGAAUUCUUGGUCUCUGUCCUCAUCCUCCUGGAAACAGGAAUUUUUUAGUUGAUGGAUGGGGAUGCCCUGAGCAUCAAUACAGGAUCCAUGAAGUGAUAUCUAAGUUGAAAACUUUUGGUACCAUGCCUUUGUUAAAUAUUCAAGGUAAAUUACAGCAGCAAAUUCAUGGGCAUUGGGGUCUCUCCAUGCUGCCUGACCAGCUAAACUUAGUUGUCCUCUCUAAAAAUAUGGAUGGAUAUCUUUCUCUCCUCAAAUUCAUGCUGCACAUCUACACUAAGAAGUUCAGUCUUCAGCCUUGCUACUUUUAUGGAGGAAGAAAAGUGCUUUAUGAGAAAAAAGAUGCCCACAGAAACCCUUCUCUGAUCAUUCAGAACUUGGUGUUAGUGUAAGAAGGAAGAAGGCAACAUGUUCAGAGUACCAGAAAAUUCCCAAAGACCCUGAGGGCUGUGCUGAACAGCAGGUAAAAUCUAAAGUUCCUCCUCUUGUCUUUUUAGUCUCUUUUCCUUUGUUUUUUCUCUUAUUUUUUUUUUUCCUCACUUUAAAAUUCACAAUAUCCUUGACAUAUCAUUUUCCUUCAGGUCUACCAGCACUUGUUCAUUACAUAAUUGCUUUCUUUUUCAAAAAACUUGCUCCUCUAUCUCCUUUUUUUUCAUUAGCUGAAGUACAAUGGUAUCUACCACGAGACUGCUCCUGGUUUUGUUUGAUUUCUCUUUUCCUUUAUCACUACCCAGAGACAUCCAGCAGAUUGUUUCAUAAUCUUCCUAGAGUUCAGAGAAAGUAUAUUUCUUCCUGAUAGGAAUAUAGCCUGUGAACGUCCUCCUCCUUUUUCCUCACCACCUGCUCCUCUUGAACAACACUUCUGGCAAACUUUAUCCAUGUAUUAUUCCUUUAUUCACAAAUGAGAUGUUCCUUUUUAGGGAAAAGUGAGGAACACACUGUUUCCCUGGCAUUCUAUGUGUGUUUUUGCACAGCUUCUUUGCCCUCCAGCACGCUCCUGAAUUUUUGGAGCCCUCGGGAGCAAGGACCUCAGCACCACAUUCAGCCCCAGCAGCCACAUUCUGUCUGUGGGAGGUCUGCAGAAGAGGAGGCUCCUCAUUCUGCUUGUGGUGCAUUGGGAAAGAGAAUUGGUGGAGCUCUGCAAUGCACAGGAGGAAGGAUUGCCUUUGUUACUGGUCAGGGAUGCUCUGUGCUGUGUUUGGUAUCACGGGCUUCCUGCUGUUGUUGGAUAAUUAAUUAACACCAACAGAGUGUUUGAAGCUCUGCUAAAGUGCAAACACAGGAUUUGCAUUGAUAUUUCUCAUUCUGGCCAGGCAUGGGGAAGAUGGAAGCACUGUCACACUUUGGGGAAACAGUCAUGGAACAGGAGAGAUGGAUAAAGACCACAAAUUCUCCUUGGUGCCCUGAGCAAGAUCCUAACACCCCAAGGGAAUCUAAUCAACUUCCAGAGAGGAAUACUUUCAAACUGAUUUAUAAAUUUUAAUUCAAAUAAAUUUGCUUUGAAUUAGAAAGAUUUGGGGGUUAAUUUGUGGGGUUUUCUUCUUUCCCAGAUAUCCAGUAACAACAAUCUUUGCCAAUUGAUUUCUGUGGGACCCAGAACAAUUGUCAAUAAUCUUUUUAUAAGGCUCCUCUGCCUUAGGAGGCAGUUUUCAUCUUCUCACACGUUUUUUCCCUUCUGGAAAAAGCAAAGAAAAUCCUCCAAUUUUUUUGAACCCCUCAUAAUUCUCAUUGCUUUCCUCCAUCCCCUGUAAGAUUUGUCUAUGACAUUCUUCUACCUUCUCCUAGCACAGCAUCCAAACGCACACUUGGUAUUUCCUCAUUAGAGUGGAAUCAUUUCUUCUAAUGUUUCACUCUUGUUCAUAUGCCCCAGAAUAAGAUUUGCCUUAUUUUGCAACAGCUGUGUCCUCUCCAGUGCCUCUUUCACAUCUCAUUUUCCAUUGAACCUGCUUGACCAGCAUUUUGCCACUUUGCAUUGACAUGUUUUGUUGCUUUUUACCUUACUGAACCAAAUCUAGUUGGUUUUAUUCUGUUACUCUGAUUUCCCAGCCACAUUCUAGAACAUGUCCUCUGGAAUAUUUAUAUAGUCUUUAUUUCAUCAUCCAAAUAACUAAUGAAAAUAUUAGAAUCAGGUCCAGGAGCAAACCCUGAGGGAGCCCUUUUGGAAAACCUCUAAAUCCAAAAGAAAGGAAUUAGUAAUUCUUGUGUGAAUACAUUUAUUUUCUGUCAAGUAUGUCUUAGGAUGAUUUCACAGACAUCAUAGUUCCUGGUCAGCUUAUGGAAAUGUUAUCUGAAAUGGUGUUAGAAACCCUGCUUCUUUCAAAAUACAUGACAUAUGCUCCCUCUUCCUUAUUCUACAACACAGUUGCUGGGUUCAAAGACAGAAACUGGAUGGUUUUAGCAUCACUGCUCUAUGACAAAUCCAUUCUGACUGACUGUAUGUUUUUCUAUUGUCAGUCAAAUGCUCAACAAAGAGAUCAUUGCACAGUUUAUUGUAUUACAGUUUUUGCAUUACAUGCUGAACUGGCUGCUGUGUAAUUCCCCCAGUCCUGCUUCCCCUUCUUUAAAGGCAGGCACUGUGUUUGCCCUUCUCCCCUCCUUUGGGAUCUCCUCUCUUCUCCGUGAGCUCUCCUGGAUAAUUACUCAUGAGUCAGAUUGCUCUGGCCAGUGCCUGAAGUGCUCCAGGGGGAACUUCAUCCAGUCCUGCUGACUUGAAUUUGCCUAACUUCUCUGAGUGAUUUUAGUGGUGUUUAUUUGCUAGUUUGGUUUGUCUUAUCCUCUGCAGUAAAAGUGGUCCUGAUAAACACCAGUUCAUAAUCUUUUUUUUUAAAUAUUUCAUUUCCCUCCAUAGCUAAAGCAUAAAACCUAAUGAAUGCUCCAAUCUUUUCUCUGUUGUUAUUUCUGUUCUCUCAUUUUCCAUUAAUUCACUUAUGGAUAAUUUCCAUUGCCUUCCUCUUAUUCCAAUACUUUUGCAGAGCAUCCUUUUAUCGCCCUCUAUAUCCCUUCCUAAUUGAAACUCAUUUUGUCCCUGGUCUUUCUCAUUUUAGUCCUCCACAGUCACACUAUUCUUUUACAGACAUAAUUUUCCUAGUCUUGUUUCCCACCUUUGUACAGCUUGAUGUUCAUCCUCCUUUUUCUGCUUCCCUCACUCCUUCCUUUCCUUGGAGGAAGAUGUUUCAUAAUUUUCUUAUCUCUUUCAAUAUAAUUAACCCCCCACCUUCCUGUCUUCAGCAAUCUCCUCCCUGUUAGUCAGUCCAGUCCCAGAGAGCUCCAAUGUCCUUGUCCCACAGGAACUUUGCUCCAUCAUUUGCACUUCUGUUCCCUCCAAACACAGUUUCACAGCCCCUGUUGGGCUUGCAAGGCAGUUUUUGUACAGUCCCUCUUUGCAGUGCACCCUUGGCUCAUUUGCCAGGUAGGAAACCAUUAUUUGUUUUACUCCAUUUUUGCAGAUCAAAUUAAUAAUGAGUUUGUCUCUUAGAUCCAUGCUCACCUCUGCAAUAUGCCAGUCAUUGCCCUUUUUUCUCUGUCCAGAAGGAUUGGAAGAGGACAUUUCCCAUCCCCUCAUCUCUUUCCCUCUUCUUCCCAGGGUCAGCAUUUAGAGCUAGGAGGCCUCAUUAAAACUUUUUUUGGGGUGGUAGAUGAGAAUGAUGCUCCUGUAAGAACUACAGAGAUCACCUGCCUGCCGAGGCUCCCCUCCCCAGCUGGGUGUGAGACCAAGCAGGCUUUUAGGAAAGGCAAUUAAGGGGUCUGAGUGUACCAUGCACUGAAGCAUCCCUUUACCCUUUCAGAUUUAUAGUGUCCAGCACACAGAUGGCUUUUUUUUUUUCCCCACCAAAAAUUGUGCUGCUAUCUUUUAAUAAAUCAGACAACAAACCCAGGCCUAUAUGAGAUGUAUUAAAUUAAGUCCCCAGCUUUCUGGGUCACUGUUCCUCAUAAAAUGAUUACAUCUCUAAACAAGGAAGAACACAAACCUGCAAGGUCACAGAGACCUGCAGUUCCAUGUAGAUCCACCUGCCUCUUCUUUCUCAUUAACUGCACAGAGCUGACUCUUGCUCAAGGCUUUCCUUAGGCUCUCCAGCCUCAUGGGCACUUUCCACUGAGAAGGUCCAAGGAUUGAGGUAGCAUUUAUGCAGGGUGAAUUUUUCUGCCUAUUUCUAUUUUGGCAGAGAGCAUUAAACAAGGAGCUCUCAGUGUCUGAGUAUCUGUCCUCCAUCAGAGGGGCUACUGGUGAAGCUGGACAUUUCUCCACACUGGAGGCCCACAGAGAACAUUUGGUGGGACCCAGAAGAGUAGAAGUUAUUAAGAUAACAAGGCUUAUUGCUGUAAUUACCUGCCUAUAGGAGGUUGUUGAAAAGACAACACCAGAUUUUGUUUGAAGGUGCACAGUGAUGGAGCAAGAGAAAAUCAACCCAAGGGGCAGAAAGGGAUAUUAAAACUAGAUAUUAGGAGGGGGGAAAUACAACUAAAGUAGUUAAUUACUGGAACAGGAGACCAGAGAGCUUUUGGAAUCUCUAACAUUGCAAAACUCCCCUGGGAAAGGCUCUGGGAAAUCUGAUGGGAAGGUGUGAGAGAGGACCCUGGAAAUCCCUGAAGGUCUUUCCCUCUCCAAAUCUCUGUGAUGCUGAAAUCCUGUAUGGGUGGGUCUGGGGCAAUCCUAUUGCUGUCCUGCUCAUUCCAGCUGAUUGCCAACAAAAUUACAGAGCUGCCCGAGCGUGUUGGUUCUGUUUUGCAUAAAUUUGUAAGGAUACUCUGUGCAGAAUCCAAAGACUGUAUAAUAGGAAAAUCCCAGGUAAUUACAAAUUCAUUGGUUUAAACCUGAUCCCAAACAGCAUCAAAGAAAAUCUGAUAUAGACUGUGAUUAGUAAUGAAUUAAAGGAUGGUAACCUGAUUGAUAUGCCUGAGCAGUUUUAUGGAAAGUCUGUCAUGUCAAACAAAUGAAUGUUUUUUUAAUGAGAACGUAAGGUUGGUUAAUAAAGA